UUAAACAACAUAUAAAAGGGCUAACUGAGGACGUGUCAGGAGUAGCCGGACUUUGUUUUCCAGCACCUUUGUUUGAUACAAGUUUGUCAAAAUGAAGGCCUUAGUUAUUUUCAUGUGUGUAUUGAUCGUCAUGUCUGCCAUUUCCCCAAGCGAACAGUUGAUCAGGAGAAAACCAUCAGCAGAAACCCUGAGAAAGCUUGCGGAAUCUGCAAGAGCUCAAAAGAGGGGAGAUAGCUCUCGAGUAACACCCGCACCAGCUGAUGAUGCAGGCGGAGAUAAGUGAUUUCCCUUGGAUGGAGAAACGUCUAAAGAGUUAACAUAACUGAGAUUGAUGAACGAUAACUCUGUUUAUUUGGAAAAUAAUUAAAUGCAGUAAAAUUGAAAUAAAAUAAAAUAACAAAGCUUUUAAGAAAUUUGGAAAUAAAAAUAUUUCUAUAUAAAAUUA